rfam:Gymnopus luxurians FD-317 M1 unplaced genomic scaffold GYMLTscaffold_20, whole genome shotgun sequence.
GCUUCCUUAGCUCAGUCGGUAGAGCGCGAGUCUCAUAGUGCGAAAUGGUUCAUUUCAUAAUCUCGAGGUCGCAAGUUCGAGCCUUGCAGGGAGCA